AUACGGAGGGUGCGAGCGUUGUUCGGAAUUAUUGGGCGUAAAGAGCAUGUAGGCGGUCUGUUAAGUCUGGUGUGAAAGCCCGGGGCUCAACCCCGGAAGUGCAUUGGAUACUGGCAGACUUGAGUAUGGGAGAGGAAAGCGGAAUUCCGAGUGUAGGAGUGAAAUCCGUAGAUAUUCGGAGGAACACCAGUGGCGAAGGCGGCUUUCUGGACCAAUACUGACGCUGAGAUGCGAAAGCGUGGGGAGCGAACAGCAUUAGAAACCCCGGUAGUCC
rnacentral:rRNA from 1 species